rnacentral:rRNA from 1 species
UACGGAGGGAGCUAGCGUUGUUCGGAUAUACUGGGCGUAAAGCGCACGUAGGCGGCUUGGUAUGUCGGGUGUGAAAUCCCCGGGCUCAACCUGGGAACUGCAUCCGAAACUGCCUUGCUCGAGUAUGGGAGAGGGAAGUGGAAUUUCCGGUGUAGCGGUGAAAUGCGUAGAUAUCGGAAGGAACAUCAGUGGCGAAGGCGACUUCCUGGACCAAUACUGACGCUCAGGUGCGAAAGCGUGGGGAGCAAACAGG